rnacentral:tRNA from 1 species
GGUAGCGUGUCCGAGCGGCCGAAGGAGCACGCCUCGAAAGCGUGUGAGGCGCAAGCCUCCGUGGGUUCAAAUCCCACCGCUACCGCCA